GGGGAUGUAGCUCAUUGGUAGAGUGGUUGCCUAGCAUGUACAAGGUCCUGAGUUCAAUACCCAGUACCCCCA
rnacentral:tRNA from 1 species